rnacentral:pre_miRNA from 1 species
UUCUCCGUCAAUUCAAUUCUGACACUCACGAAUUACUCACGUAAACUUCUCAAUUGUAGAAGAAGUUUACGUGAGUAAUUCCUGAGUGUCAGAAUUGACUAUGAGAA